rnacentral:misc_RNA from 1 species
GAUGAAGAACGCAGCGAAAUGCGAUAAGUAAUGUGAAUUGCAGAAUUCCGUGAAUCAUCGAAUCUUUGAACGCACAUUGCGCCCCCUGGUAUUCCGGGGGGCAUGCCUGUUCGAGCGUCAUUUCACCACUCAAGCCUCGCUUGGUAUUGGGCAUCGCGGUCCGCCGCGUGCCUCAAAUCGACCGGCUGGGUCUUCUGUCCCCUAAGCGUUGUGGAAACUAUUCGCUAAAGGGUGUUCGGGAGGCUACGCCGUAAAACAACCCCAUUUCUAAGGUUGACCUCGGAUCAGGUAGGGAUACCCGCUGAACUUAAGCAUAUCAAUAAGCGGAGGA